rnacentral:rRNA from 1 species
CGGGGUGCACCAGGCGCGAAAACUCCACAAUGUACGGAAGUACGAUGGGGUUAUCUCGAGUGCAGUCCGAUAAGGGCUGCUUUUCCAUAGAGUAAUAUCCUGUGGGAAUAAGAGGGGGGCAAGACUGGUGUCAGCCGCCGCGGUAACACCAGCCCCUCGAGUGGUGGGGACUAUUAUUUGGCCUAAAGCGUCCGUAGCUGGCUGUAUCCGUCCCCCGUUAAAUCCAGCGUCCUAAGCGUUGGACUGCGGGUGAUACCAUACAGCUAGAGGGUGGGAUAGGUGAGCGGUAUUUCUGGGGUAGGGGCGAAAUCCUUUGAUCCCAGGAGGACCACCAGUGGCGAAGGCUGCUCACUAGAACACGCCUGACGGUCAGGGACGAAAGCUGGGGCAGCGAACCGGAUUAGAUACCCGGGUAGUCCCAGCUGUAAACGAUGCUAGCUAGGUGUUGGGUCGGCCACGUGCCGCCCCAGUGCCGCAGGGAGGCCGUUAAGCUAGCCGCCUGGGGAGUACGGCCGCAAGGCUGAAACUUAAAGGAAUUGGCGGGGGAGCAC